rnacentral:snRNA from 11 species
CUCACACUUGGCCUUUUGACUAAAACCAAGUGUAAUAUCUGUUCUUAUCAGUUUAAUAUCUUAUACGCCCUCUAUUUGAGAACAGUUGAAGUAGACAUGGGAACAGACUUGGAGAAAGAGUUAACUUUUCUGAUGCAGUGCCAUGAAGCUGCACUGGAUUACAU